rnacentral:rRNA from 1 species
GAUGAACGCUGGCGGCGUGCCUAACACAUGCAAGUCGAGCGAUUUACUUCGGUAAAGAGCGGCGGACGGGUGAGUAACGCGUGGGUAACCUGCCCUGUACACACGGAUAACAUACCGAAAGGUAUGCUAAUACGAGAUAAUAUACUUUUAUCGCAUGGUAGAAGUAUCAAAGCUCCGGCGGUACAGGAUGGACCCGCGUCUGAUUAGCUAGUUGGUAAGGUAACGGCUUACCAAGGCGACGAUCAGUAGCCGACCUGAGAGGGUGAUCGGCCACAUUGGAACUGAGACACGGUCCAAACUCCUACGGGAGGCAGCAGUGGGGGAUAUUGCACAAUGGGCGAAAGCCUGAUGCAGCAACGCCGCGUGAGCGAUGAAGGCCUUCGGGUCAUAAAGCUCUGUCCUCAAGGAAGAUAAUGACGGUACUUGAGGAGGAAGCCCCGGCUAACUACGUGCCAGCCGCCGCGGUAACAC